AAAAGACUGCAGCUGUGUGCGAAACACAAUGAGUAAUCAUAUGCAAAUAACGAAACGGACAUAAUGUAGUAUGGUUUGGUUAUAAAGUGAUCCCGUGUCAUUGGCCUUUUUUCACAAAAAAUAAUAAUUAUCAUAACGGUGAACAGGCAGCUGAAAAAUCAUAAUGUUGCAAAAGUCAGAUAAAAUGAAUCAUACGCAACUUAUAAAGAUCUUUUGGAACCAUAAGGUAUAAACAAACCAAUUACUUCCCACUCCACACAUUCAACUCACAAAGUCAAGAUGGACCCCAACGCUUUUGAAAAAAUGGAUGAUUGGCUGACCAUGGCGGAUAAUACCAACGACACAUCAUUUGAAGAAAUGAUGCGGGAAUUUAAGACCAGUACGAAGACAGGACCCAUGAUAUUAAGAAAAGGCUGGUGGGCAAUCAUUUAGAACGAAGGAUGCUGGUGCAGCCAAUCAAGGCAGUAUCAAUGAAGCAAAAGUGUAUAAAAAUUAAAGAAGACCUUAAAAAAAUUGAACAAUUGCUGGAAAAUGUUAAAAAUCAUUUACCAUAUUAAAAACAAUGUGUAUAAAAGUUAUAUAAUAAAUUCUGUCUUGAUGUUAAA